rnacentral:tRNA from 1 species
GCGGGUGUAGUUCAGCUUGGUUAGAACGCCGCACUGUCACUGCGGAGGUCGCCGGUUCAAAUCCGGUCGCCCGCG